CUCGUUGUGAUGGGGCAAUUUUAGUUUGUAAACCGGCUCGACUUUUUUUCUUACAAUUAUUAGAAUUGUAUUUUAUUUUUUUCAUUAUCCAUUAGGAGUGUUCUGGAGCGAUGCUUUUCUUGCAGUAAUUGCGAUAACCUUUUGCACAAGGCUAUCUCUUAAUGGAAUGGGGAAAAUAAUUGAAGGAAAUAUUUGUGUGUCGACGGCUAAAAACCUACAAGAAGAGAAAAUGACAGGUCAGGUUUGCCUUCACAGACAGCACGCAAUGAAUGUACAUUUCAGCACUGUACGUCGGAGUUACAAGUCAGGAAAGGUUGAGAACACGAUGGCGGGGAGCAGGGGCGAGGACCUGGCUGAAUUCAGGGUAAAUGUGUAUAAAUAGAAACAUGGCUGCCUAUCGGCUAACGGAGAGAAUGGGUCACACUUAGGGCUGUGCUUGGUGUGAAGUGCAAUUCAAGGACAUUGUAAUUUUUUUGGCUCACUUGCAGUGCCCAGUUUAGCCAUUGUUUGUGGGCUGAUUACAGUUAAGGUUUUUCAUCACACUGGGACUUUAUUCUGAUUAUUCUCAGACAGACCGUCACGGGAUGCUAGUUAGAUGCUAAUGUUUUCUGUGCUCACACCCAAACGCAAUGUGCUAUACAACUAUCAGUGGGACCGAUUAAAUUUUUAGAUGGUGGGACAGAGAUAAAAGGAACAUACGGGAAGAAUUAUUAUAUGGAUGGCGUUUUAUAAAAGCCUAGAUAUAUUAAUGUUUGUGACUCAGUGCUCACAGAAUUAAAUAGUCCAGUCUAGAAACUGCAGCCCAUUAAGCAGCCGCCUAGUGUCCCGGGCGCAGUCUUUGUGUGGAAUUAAUUACUGUUUCUGUAGAAUGGCCAAGCUGUCAUUGCUCAGUGCCACGCUGUCCCCAGUCCUGCUCAGACUCUACAUUGUAAAUCAUGGAUCAUCAACCUGGUCCCUACCGCCCACUAGUGGGCGUUUCAGGAUUCCAGGUGGGCGGUAGGGAUUUUCUAAUUUUGAGAGAUUGGGUGAGCGGGCGGGUGCGAGCCGGCGGCCGCAUAUGGAGGGGUCCAUCGGGUGGCCCAUGCUGUCACGGCCACCCGAUGGAUGUGGAGGGGCCCGGUCAGCGCUGGGCGCUUUAACAGCGCGACUGGGCCCCCUGUGAUUACAUCACAGAGCUGGGAGGAAGUGACUGCACGUCACUCCUCCCAGCUAACACACAGACCGCGCGGGAGGAAGGAGGAGGGAGUCAGAGUGGGAACUCUGACUCCCAUCCACCUGAGCCACCACUGGACCCCAGGGAAAGUCACCCUCCUGCACCUAAAAGGUAGGAAAAUAUUUUGUGUGUGUUUGUUUGUGUAUGUGUCUUUGUAUGUAUGUGUGUCUUGUGUCUGUCUGUAUGUGUGUAUGUGUCUUUGUAUGUAUGUCUUAUGUGUGUGUCUUUGUACGUGUGUGUCUGUAUGCAUGUCUCUGUGGGUGUCUGUAUAUAUGUGUGCCUGUCUGUUUGUAUGUUUGUAUGUAUGUGUCUUGUAUGUGUGUCUGUAUGUGUGCCUGUCUGUGUGUCUGUAUGUGUGUGUGUGCCUGUCUGUCUGUAUGUAUGUAUGUAUGUAUGUAUGUGUGCCUGUCUGUUAUAGUGGGCUAUAGUAAGUAAUAGUAAGUGGGAUACCUAGCUCAGCCUUCCUACUGGGCAUUGCUAUAAGGAAGGUUAAAAAAUAAAAAAAGGGGAGGUGGGGAGGGGAAUUGAGGAGGGAGAGGAGGGGAGCUGACACACAGAUGAGAAAUCAUAUUAUGCGCAAACAGAGAAGUCGUCUGAAUAUCACCGAAAGAGGAGACCUUCGUUUGUUCCUUACGAAAAUCAAACCAGAUAUCAAAUAUUUAGUCUCUCAGCAUCAACCUCAAGGAUCUUAUUAAUCACUAGUAAAGGUAAUUUCAAUUUACUUUAUUGUUUUCUCAUUAAACUUUAUAAAGUUAAAAACAUUAUAAACAUGCAUUAAGUAGAAAUAAAAAGAUAAAUGUACGUACAUUUAUUUUUUUUAAAACACCCUCCUUUUGAAAAAAUAUUCUGCACUUGCGCGAAAACUGGUGGGUGGUAAGGAAAUGUUUUCAACCAAAAAGAUGCAUUAGUGGGCGGUAGGUAGAAAAAGGUUGACUACCACUGUUGUAAACUAUACAUUGCGUAAUUUUCUAGUGACAAGUUAGCCUUCAAUGACCACUCCAUGCACAGUAACAAUUACAGCUUGCUCUUGUUGUUAUGGUGCCUGGAUGACCCCGCACUCCCUUCCUUGUUGUAUUAUUAUUAUUAAUAUUAUCGGUAUUUAUAUAGUAAGUAGUCAAUCUGUUUAAGAAUGGUUUGCCAACUUACCUGGGAUUUGACUUGUACCUACCAAGCCUCCUCUAGAGCUACAAGCCCCUGCCAACUCAUAGGUUGAAAGAACAUAACUCAAUCUUUCAGCCAAAAGCGCUGUUCCUUGCAGGAGCUUCCAGCGAACCCAGUUAAGACCACCCCGGGGUUAGCCCCCCCAAAUUGAGAAUUUUAACAAAAGAUUAUUCCAUUUGUUAGACCCGGGGAUGGUCCAGGUAAGUUGUCAAACAACUCUUAAACUGUUUAGCUACUUACUGUGGGAGAGAACCAGAGCUCUCCUGGCCUUGUAACCAAAUCAGCAGAUUCUAAUGGUUAUGGCGCUUGGAAUGUAAUGGCUGAAUGGUUGAUAAUACACUAGUAUUAAUAGGGUUAAAUCUGCAUGUUUUUGGGUUCUAUCCCCACUGAUAAGUACGGUAGUUGACUCCUUUAUUAGUACAAUAUUUCUGGAAGUUUAAACCACUGAGCAACCAAUGACAUUAUGUUACCCUGCCCGAUUGAUUUCCAGUCCUCCUGUCUCUUCUAAUAAAACUCCUGAGAGCUCUCUCUGCACCCUCGCUAAGUCUCCUGUCAUGCUUAUUUUAUCCAUGUUUGAGUCCGAAUCUCUAUUUCCUGAAGUCAUAUUUAUACCCUGAGCUGCUCUCAUACAAAUCCCAUUAAAUUAACAUCUAUCCAGCAUCUUAUAAACUUCUGUAAAUAGCAGUCUGAAAGUCACUCCCAGUGUUAUCUUUGUAGUAGAUUUAACACCUUGCAUUAUAAGACUGUGGGGUCUAGUUAUUUACUUAUUCCAAUAAGACCCUGCAAGGGUUAACAAGCUAAUUUCUUCAUUAUUAAUUAGGUGCAAAAUACAAAAUGCUGCAGUCAUGCGCUGCUGAAAGGUCCCCAUACUUUUUUUUUUUUACUAUGACCACUUACCAGCGAAUUCACACAAAUCCUUAUUGAAACUGCAUAAAUAUACGGCGUGGGAUUUACUUGGCAUGGCACAAAAAUGAUUAAAUAUUUCUUUCCCAAGUUCUUUAGUUCUGCUUAUAAUAGGAUUGUUUCAAAUUUCAAUAAAUAUUAUUUUUUUGGUUCAAAAUUUUAAAGCAUCUUUUUCGAAAACAACCCAGUUAGGAGAUUACCAUUUAUUUUUUGUAAGACUCGAAAGGAAUUCGUUCUGAGAGGCUAUACAAUAUGUAGCAUUCAAAUGCUUCAAUGAAAAAAAAAAAUACAAUUAAUAAAUUAUACCUCUUCCAUGUGGGUCCCUGCCAUGAUUAAUUCAUUCUUAUACAACUUGGAGAUCUUUUCAUGCAAAGUCCUACAGCAUGAAGCAUUCCUACCUUUCAGAACAUGGUAAAACUGUCAUACCAGUGCUUUAUUUAUUGAUUUAGACUUGUUUCUCCAGAUCAGAUCUUCAAACACUGUUCAUGUAAUUACUGGAUUUUUGGAAAACAUUUGCUGUCCAAUAUAUAUUAUACAUAAUAAAUACUAUAUCAGAUACAUUACAAGUGAUUAGUGGAGUGGCUUCAAUCAAGGGAUUUUGUUAGGUGCGCUUACACAAAAUGAAAAUAAAGCCGGUGGAAUCAUAUUAGAAAAAACAGAAUCAUUUCGAAGCGCACGGCCUUGUUCUCGCAGUGAGCCCUCGGUAGAAAUACCACAAAUGACAAAAUAAAUUACACACACGGUGAUACAAUCACUCUAUUAUUAAACUCACAAAACAUAGUGUUAGAACAUAUUGUAACUUUAUCUCAAGUUAAUCCUCUAUCAAUGAAAUUGCUCUUAAUUUUAACCUUUUAUGGACAAUGUCUCAGAUCAGAUGAGAAAUCUCUACAGAGCAUGCUCUGUAAAAUAUGUAUUUCCUAAGGUUUAUUGGAUGUCCCAAUUGUGCCAGAACUGUUCUAGGUUCACUGGUCGACAGAACCAACAUAUCCAGAUGUUGCAGAAAGAUAAGUCCUGCGCUCCCUCCCCCCCACUGUGCGGCAGCAAAGACUACAGUACACAGUAUAUCCAGAUGUUAUGAUGUCACAAUGGCAAUGGCGCAAAUCAACAAUCUCUGGAUUUUCCAACCUUGGUCAGUGUCAUUAAAGCAACUAGAAUGAUUGUAAUUACGUGUUGGUCCUCUAAUGCUAUUUUCACUAUUUAAAUGAAAGAACGCACAUUUUAUAAAACCAUAUAUAUCACUCUACAACUGUUAUUUCAUCCCAAACAGCAGUGGCAGAUGGUGAUGGUUAAAGGUGGUGGGCGCUGCUUCCCCUGACUUGUUGGGCUUUACCCACUUAACCCAUGAGAUGCCAUGAUCUAUUCAAAACCAGCUGCAUCUCUAGACAUCCGUGAUGGGGAAGGGUAACUGCAGAUAGAAUUGUGCAUGUUUUUGUCUAACACACCCUUAUCAGUUGUCCUCUCAAUUUCAAUAAAUUAGAUUUGUUGGUUUUGGGGUUUUUUUUGCAGAAAAGACUGUCAGGGGGGCCGCCCCACCAGCCAGCAUCCACUGCCAAACAAUAUUUGAAUACUGAUUACUUAAACCCAUGGAAUUGAUCAAUAGAAUUAAGGGUUUGGCAAGCAGUGGAAAUGUCCUAUGGGCACAAUCAAGACUAUCCCAAAUUAUAUCAGAAAACAUGGGAUGAGAUCAGAUUUAGUUGGUUAUUGCUGGAACUGAUUACAAAACAACAACUCUCUGUUUAAAGAUUUUGAUCUCAUCUGGUUGGUAGUGUUUUCCAGGAGUUAUUAGAUAGAUGUUGGAUAAUGUGGGGUCGAGGAAGGGGGUUGGGUGGUUCCUUUCAGUGAUUGUCUUCAAUGACAGCUUCAUUAAAUAUUUUGUUGGGUUUAAGCAGGAUAGUUGUUGGUAUUUUGAACUGGACCUUUUGAGUCGCGUACAAUCUCCAGAUAUCCAUCGAGCUGACUUUGACUUCAGGACGGCACAUGGGUCAAAAUUGUUACCCAGCUUCAGUGUUGGUAUGUCGGACCUUACUAUCUUCGUUGAUGGGAAAAGCAAACUGGGGAGAAUGCAGAAGGCUCUGUAGACUACGAGAGACUCUAGAUAUCGGGGUGUAGAUAUAUCGAGUGGGAGAAACCAUAGAGAUGAUUCAUUAUCUCUAAUACACUGGCUGUUGGCUGUGAACAUUUUUAUUAAUUUGUUAAUAAAGCUGUGACUGUUAAAAUGUAUAAUCUGUUAAUAAAGUUGUGAAUGUUACAAGUUGUUAUAUGUCAAUAAAGCUAUGGCUGGAACGAUUUACAUUUGUUAAUAAAGCUUGACUGUUAUCAUUGAUAAUUAGUUAAUUAAACUGUGACUGUUAUAAUUUGUAAGCUGUUAAUAAAGCUGUGACUGUUACAAAUUAUUGUCAAUAAAGCUGUGACUGUUACAAUUUGUGAUCAGCUAAUAAAGCUGUGACUGUUACAAUUUGUGAUCAGCUAAUAAAGCUGUGACUGUUACAAUCUGUGAUCUGUUACUAAAGUUGUGACUUACAAUUUGUGAUAAUAAAGCUGUGACUGUUACAAUCUGUGAUCUGUUAAUAAAGUUGAGUGUAGUACAAUAACUUGUAUUCUGUUUAUUGUCCCCCAAGCGCCAUGUCCGUAUUUUUCUAGCCGGUUUUUAGUGUAUUCCCAUAGUGUCUCUUGUUAGAGAGGAUCGGCCAGGGUACUGGUGGAGAUUUUCCAUAGUCUUCAUGUAAAAUCCCAAGACACCAUGAAUUAUUUCUGAGCUUCACAAAUUAUUAAACUGAGAUGACCUAAAUCGAAGAGCUGUGGGCUUUCACGCUGUGUGAUGGCUGAUGCUGGGGACCUGUUCCAUUUUAAAUUACUAAUGUAUAAAAACUAUAAUGUAAGAAAAAUCUAUAUUUUUUCUCUAAAUGUUACAUUAAAACCUUAGACGACUCUUUUCUGGUCAAAACACGAUUUUUGUAUCACAUCAAAUUUUUAUAUCCCAAAUUUUAGAGCAGAUUGUAUGAAAUUAUAAUGAAGAAAAUAAUGUAUAUGAAAUUAUAAUGAAGCAUAUAUAUAUAUAUAAAAUUAUAAUGAAGAAUAUAUAUGUAUAUGAUAUAUUCUUCAUUAUAAUUUCAUACAAUCUGCUCCCAAAAAUAUGAUAUAAAAACCUUACGUGAUUCUGUAUUAUAUUCUUCAUUAUAAUUUGAAAUUAUACUUGCCCUAAAUUAAAAUAUCUCUGGAGUUCAGAAGGUAUUUUAAAGAUGAGUUGUGCAAAACAUGGGCAUUUGAUCUGAUGUAGGACUGUUCUUCAUCGAAUAUCCAGACAAGAACUGGUGGAGAAUUAUGUGAAUAUUUAUCCAUCAACCUGUUUGUUCCUUUUUGCUAACGGAUGGCUGUUGAACUGAAUGUGAUCUAUAUUCUGAAUGGCUGAUUGAGAAUCCAGUCUUUUAUCUCAAUUUUCCCUCCUACACUGAACGGUAAAAAAAUCCAGGUUCCAUCAGCGUUACACAUAUUAUUAUUUUAUUAUUUAUAUAGCGCCAUCAGGUUCCAUAGCGUUGUACAAUAUUUACCAUUCCUUAGAGCACGCGAUUAAAUAUGGUUCAUUCUCUCUGUGUUUCCCUCAAUCUAUGUUCUGCAGAUUCCGAUCUAUUAAAUCACAAUCCAAUAACAAUGUUUACUUUUAUCACUACUGAUGUGACAGGCUGAGUCACAGCAAAGCAAAAUAAAUUCUCUCUUUCUAACUGAAUCCAGACAAUCAUUUUCCUCUGGUAAAGGAUGCAUUACUAGAUCCAUACAGAGAGGACCUCACUGCUGAUUUAAUUUAUCUGGAUUGGGAUCCCCCCGGAGGAAGAAACUCUCUAGAAUCCCAUCGCACUGUUCUUACCUCCGUAAUGACUUUUCAAAGAGCAAAGCAAGUUAUUUGCUCUUUACAAACUUUCAUUUUGUGCCAAACAACCUUUUCUGUCUUUUUUUUAUUUUUUUAAAAUAAAUUUUAAAAAAAUUCACAUUUUUUUUUUAUUUGUUUAAAUUAAAAACAAACUACGGUAUGUAGUCGGAACUAUCCAGACAGUUUGGAACUGAUUCGAUUUUUGUUUCCUUCAUGUUUUUUGAUAUUUGUCUAUUCCUAUGUCGGCCACCUUUCCAAGUAGGUCUGCCUCUUUGCGCAGCACCAGUGACGCAGGUCACAUCACUGCCCCCUUCAGGCCCACACACCCUAAUCAUGCUCUAAAUAGCUUCCGAUAAUGUGAAUUAUGUAAUACUGCAUUCAUCUGAAUUCAUACAGUCUUAAUAAAAAAGUAUUAUUAAAAGAAUAGACCAUUUAAAGUACUUUUGCUUGUCUGGAGUCUGUCAUUUCUUUUUAUGCAGUUUCUAAAAAUGACAGUUUUAUAACUAGGUGCAGGGAGACUUUCUUCUGCCACCAUUAGCUCCACAUAGAUAGCGGAAGGAGCAGUUUCACUAAGCUAGAGUGUGCCUACCUUACCAGCUACUUCCCAUUACUCAGCCUCAGAUUAUUCUCUGGCACAGGCUGCAAGAAGAAAUAAUGUCAUGGCACAGCCCAAGCCCUGCUGACAACAAGACAUGGCUGCCCAUUUAGGAGACCUGGCUGGGAUUGAACUCACAGCUCCGGCACCCCAGGCAGGUUCUCUGCUGUGCUGUCCGCCAGGGGGCUUUAGUCUCUGUUUGCAUUUUUCUGCUUCCUGACCCUUUGCCUGGAUUAAGCAGCACUGAUCAACCUGCAGCCCUUUUCCAAUUAGGGUCAGCUGCACCUAAUUGGCAGGCUGUAAAAGCCAGCCCUGCCUGAGACCUCGUAUCUGGUCAUUGUGCCUGUUUGGUGUUUCCUGACGGAUCUCUGCUUCGCUACUGACUGAUUUCCUGGACUCUGGCCUGCUUUACUGACUACGAUACUCCGCUGCCAGCCCUGACUUCUGUUUCUCGUCUGACCUUGCCUUUGGAUUACCCCUUUAUCUGUACUGUGUUUUUGGUUUUUGCCUCGUCCUUGUGCCAUCUCCUGCAACUGGGCUCCAACUCCUGGUAAACUGUUACAUAAGUCCCCUGGUGAACUGUUACAAAUAGACUGAAAGGGGAAAUAGACUGAAAGGGGAAACCGACUGAAAUGAAAACUAGACUGAAAGGGGAAGGCUUGCAGAGGCUGCUGACAGCAGGUCUGCAGCUUUUGGAAGCUUUUUUUCAUAUACCGCCAAAGCACAUGCAGGAAAAAAUACAUUCAGUAUAUUUUGACAAUUUAUUUUCUAAAUGGUUCAUGAUAAAAAUUUUAAAUUUUUUUUUGUGUUGAUGUAGGUAUCAGUAAUAGACAAGUCUACUGAGCCAUUACAUACGCUGUGUAACUGGCCCUUACUGUCCUCCUUCUGUGCACUCACAGACAAUCACUGGUAGUGAUGUUCCGAACGGUUCGCCGCGGACUCAUCAUUGAGUAAACUUUGACCCUGUACCUCACAGUCAGCAGACACAUUCCAGCCUAUCAGCAGCAGACCCUCCCUCCCAGACCCUCCCACCUCCUGGACAGCAUCCAUUUUACAUCCAUUGUGAAGCUGCAUUCUUAGUGAGCUGUCCAGGAGGUGGGAGGGUCUGGGAGGGAGGGUCUGCUGCUGAUUGGCUGGAAUGUGUCUGCUGACUGUGAGGUACAGGGUCAAAGUUUACCGCAUAUGUUCGCCGUCCGCGGCGAACCGUUCGGGACAUCACUAUUCACUGGUCUUAUAGAGCAUUAUUGUCUACUACACCAGGACAGUAUGCCAUAAUGAAUCCGCUCCUCUGCAACAUGCAGAGAGACAGGAAAUACUCCUUCACACUGCGGAGAGUCUUCAGAGGAUGGAUGGAGAAAAUCCCAAAGAAAGGUAUGUAAUUUUAUCUUAAUUUAGCUGCUUUUUUUUAGCUAUAGAAUAAAAUUAUUUUCUUUCUUUUUUUUUCUUUUUUUUUUCUUUUUUUUUUUAAAUAGACAAAAUGUCGGCUUUCCUGUUUAUAUAGAUAUAAGCCAAGCCGCAUGUUAUGAUGUUCAUUAAAGCAUUCUCGACUACACAGGAAACUCGUUAAAUCGAGAUAUCUUGAGAGAUUUCAUUUUUUUUUAUUAAUUAAGCAAUCCUUUCGAAACAUAAAUGUAAGUAAUAAGCUAAUCUUAAGGUUCCAUUUUAUUUAUAUUUCACAUUUACUCCCAACAAUCUUUUUAUAUAAAAAAAAAAGCUUUUUUUAGAGCAGUGAAUGUGCAGUGUAAUACAUUGGAUUUUUAGAGAUUCUUUAAUUGAAACAUUUGGGACAUUUCUGUACGGCGAUGAUUUCCCAGGAACAAAAGCCUAAUUUUUAGUGUACAUUUUCAAAUAUCUGUGAGCAAUUCCCUUGAUUCUUGACAUGUUCAAUUUUUUUCCAAUGUAAUCACAGAUUUGCAAUUUACUGACCAAUUCUCCACAUCUCCCACCUUAGUGAAUAAAGCCCUAAUAAAAGAGGGGAGAGAGUUUGCCAGUACACGAUCAGUUUCUAUGCUUUUGUUAAAACUCUAACUCCCAUUAUCAGGGCCGCCAUCAGGGGGUGCCAACCAUGAUGGUUGUCACGGGCCCGGCGGAUGGCCCAAGCAUUUAGGGCCACUUGAUGGGGCCUAUAUCUUCAGGGGCCCAGUCAGCGCUGCGGCAGUGAAAUAGCGCGACGGGCCCCUUUAAAAAAUCGCAGCCGCAAGUAGUGCUGGGAAGAAGUGACGGCCGGUCACUUUCUCCCAGCUAGCUCCGCGCGGGAGGGGAAAGAGACAGGCUGUGAGGACGGAAGAGCCACGCCGACUCCCAUCAGCCCCAGUCACCCUCCUGCAAAAAAAAAGUAAGAAAAAUUAGCUAUGUAUGUCUGUAUGUGUGUGUGUGUGUGUGUCUACAUGCACGGCCGUCUUUAAAGCGAGCAAACGGGGCAGCUGCCCCGGGCCCACUUACUCCUGGGGGGGCCCAAAGCAGCUACCCCGUGGGCCCCGCUGUCCGCAAAAAUAAAUACAUUUAUUUGCCCCCUGGGCCCGCCGGUGCUGCGGCUGCACCGGGAGCCCACACACGAAGAGGCCCUGGUUGGCACUUUGGCCCCCUCGUUUUACUGCAGAAGGCUGGGAGGAAGUGACUGCCGUGAGUCACUUCCUCCCAGAUAGAACGAAGCCGCGCGGGAGGAAGGAGGAGGAGGCCGUCAGGAGGGAGCUGGAGUGCAGGAGCCUCACACUCCCAACGACCUCAGCCUGCCGCUGGACCCCAGGGAACCCAUAAGGUAGGGCUGGAGGGUGGCUUUAUAAAUGUAAACUUUGCAUGUGUGUGUGUCAGUAUUUGUGUGUGUGUCUUAGUAUGUGUGUGAGUUUGUCUGUCAGGGUUUCUGUGUGUGUCUUAGUAUGUGUGUGAGUUUGUCUGUCAGGGUGUUUGUGUAACGAGAAUAUACCCCUACACGCAGGAUCCAGCUAAACAGAGGCAAAUACAGAGGAGAGAUACGUCUACCGGACCUUAGAAUGGCCGGACUUGACGUAUAUGAGAGAAGACAGAGCCAGGAACAAACCGAGGUCAAGGGCACAGAGAGACAGCGUAAACUAGGACAAGCCGGGGUCUGGUACACGGAAAACAGCAAGCCGGCAAACAGUACAGAUAAGGAUAAAGCGAAAACGAAGUCAGAAUACGAAGCCAAAGUCAAUACGAGAAAACACAACUGAACACUACAAGCGCUAAAGGGAACUGAAACAGAAACCACGAUAGGGCAAGGAACAAAGGGAAGAAGGUGAGUAUAAAUACCUAAACAUCUAAUUUGAUUGGUCCCUGUCAUAUCCACGCCCCCAAAAGGUAAGUGUAUGGGGAGUGUGGCAUGACAGGGACCAAUGGGAUGCCUUUUCCAAUUUAGGCACCCACUGUCCCUUUAAGAGCGCGCCCGAGACUCGCGGCGCGCUCUUAGUUUCAGGCGGGACACGUGACCGCCUCACGCGGUCACUGCCCGCCCUCCAUCCGAAGUAGUUGGAUGAGCCGCGCGCGGCUCGUGCAGCCGCAGGACCGCGCGCGGCUUGAAGAGAGGACCGCGACCGGCCCCCGGUUAAGGUAAGUAACGCUACAGUACCCCCCCCUGAGGACACGCCCCCCGGGCGGGUAGGACCAGGCCUGGCAGGAAAACGAGAAUGGAAAGAGCGCACAAGACGGGGAGCAUGGACAGCAUCGGCCGAAAUCCAACUGUGCUCCUCAGGCCCAUAACCCUUCCAAUGUACCAAGUACUGAAGUCGACCCCUAAGGAAACGAGAGUCAAGAACAGCAGACACUUCAAACUCCUCAUGACCCUCCACCGAGAUAGGAGGGGGAGGAGGAGUAUGCCGGGUAUAGCGGUUGCGUACGAAAGGUUUCAACAAUGAGGUGUGAAAAACAUUAGGAAUACGUAGAUUCUUAGGCAGGCCUAAGGCAUAAGAAACAGGAUUAACCUUAUGUAUAAUACGAUAAGGUCCAAUGAAGCGGGGAGCCAAUUUCAUAGAAGGCACCCGGAGACGAAUAUUCCGCGUGGAAAGCAAAACCCUGUCCCCCACAACAUAGGACGGAGCUGCUCUGCGAUGCUUGUCAGCCUGAGCCUUCUGGCGAGUAGCAGAGUCCACCAAAGAACGCUGAACCUGCUCCCAAGUAUUACGCAAACCAGCCAAAUGCUCAUCCAGAACUGGCAUGCCCUGUGAGGAGAAUGCAGCCGGAAGAACAACGGGAUGCUGGCCAUAGACAACGUAAAAAGGGCUCUUGCCGGAAGAAUCAUGAGUGGCGUUAUUCCGAGCAAAUUCAGCCCAAGGAAGCAGGUCAGACCAAUUGUCCUGAUGGUGAGACACAAAACAACGGAGGUAUUGCUCCAGAGACUGGUUGGCACGUUCAGCAGCCCCAUUAGACUGGGGAUGAUAAGCGGAAGAAAAUGAGAGAGAAAUACCCAUUUCUGAACAAAAGGCCCUCCAGAACCUGGAAAUAAAUUGGCUACCCCUAUCGGAUACAAUAGAUACGGGAAUCCCAUGUAAUCGAAAUACUUCUCUAGCGAAGAUAUGAGCCAGUUCCUUAGAUGUGGGCAACUUGCGAAGAGACACGAAGUGAGCCAUUUUGGAGAACCGAUCCACUAUCAUCAGGAUUACUGUGUUACCAUUUGAAGGGGGUAAUUCAACAAUAAAAUCCAUGGACAGGUUAGACCAAGGUCUCUCGGGAACGGGUAACGGAUGCAACAGCCCACAAGGAACUCUACGGGAGGAUUUCAUACAGGCACAAGUAGUACAAGCACUUAUAUAGUCGGUGACAUCCUUUCGUAAGGAAUCCCACCAAAAAUACCGAGAAACAGCUGACACCGUUUUGGAAAUACCAGGAUGUCCAGCGGUCUUAGUAUCAUGAUAUAAUGACAUAAUAUCCCGUCUCUCAGGAACAUCAACGAACAGUUUAUCAUUAGGCCUCUCGCUAGGUGCCAUGCUUUGUUUCGCUUGUAUGGUCUGCAAGAGGGACGAGGAAAUAGACAAAAUAGUAGUAGCUAUUAUCCUGUCUGGGGGAAUGACAGGAGUAACAUCAAUCUCCUGUUUGUCAGUAGUUUCGAACUGUCUGGACAGAGCGUCUGCUUUAGUGUUGCGAUCACCUGGCCUAUAGGUGAUAAUAAAAUUGAAACGGGACAAAAAUAGUGACCACCUAGCCUGCCUGGAAGACAAUCUUUUGGCUUCGCUAAGGUAGGAUAGGUUCUUGUGAUCCGUAAAAAUGAGGAUAGGAUCCUUAGUUCCUUCUAACAAAUGUCUCCACUCUUUAAGUGCUAAAAUAAUAGCAAGGAGUUCGCGAUUACCCACAUCAUAAUUUUUCUCUGCUUUGGACAUUUGUUUAGAAAAGAAGCCGCAUGGAUGCAAUGGCUUCUCAGGCGACUCUCUUUGGGACAAGACAGCACCUACCCCAAUAUCCGAAGCAUCAACUUCAAGAAUAUAGGGCAGUGAGGGGACAGGAUGCUGUAAAAUAGGUGCAGAGGCGAACGUAGUUUUAAGAAAUUCAAAAGCCUGAAGUGCCUCGGUAGACCAAACACGAGUAUUGCCAUCCUUUUUAGUCAUACGAGUGAUAGGUGCUACAAUGGACGAGAAACCUUUGAUAAAACGUCUAUAAUAAUUGGAGAACCCAAGAAAACGCUGAAUAGCUUUCAGACCUUGCGGUAGAGGCCAUUCUAUUACAGCAGCUAGCUUCUGGGGAUCCAUACGAAAACCUUUAGCGGAAAUCAAAUACCCCAAGAACUGGACUUCGGUUUGGUCAAACAGACAUUUUUCUAGCUUGCAAUAAAGACCAUUAGCAAGAAGGGUCUUCAAAACUGUCGUAACAUGUCUGUGAUGAGUGUGUAUAUCUGCAGAAUAUAUUAAAAUGUCGUCCAAGUAUACGAUAACAAAUGUGUGAAUAAAAUCUCUCAAUACAUCAUUAAUAAAUUCUUGGAAUACUGCUGGGGCAUUGCAAAGCCCAAAUGGCAUAACAGUGUAUUUGUAAUGACCGGAUCUAGUGUUGAAUGCAGUCUUCCAUUCGUGAUUUUCCUUUAUACGUAUCAAAUUGUAUGCAUUCCUAAGGUCUAAUUUAGUGAACACAGUGGCAUGUUUCAGCCUGUCAAAUAAUUCUGUAAUCAAAGGUAUAGGGUAUGCAUUUUUGAUAGUGAUUUUGUUUAGACCUCUAUAAUCUAUACACGGUCUUAAAUCACCUUCUUUCUUCGAUACAAAGAAGAACCCUGCUCCAGCUGGAGAAGAGGAUCUCCUAAUAAACCCUUUUUCUAAUGAUUCCUUGAUGUACUCCUCCAUAACACGGUUUUCUUGAACCGAUAAGGGGUACACCCUGCCCUUUGGAGGUAUAGUGCCAGGCAACAAGUCAAUAGCGCAAUCAUAGGGUCUGUGAGGCGGUAAUUUCUCAGCCUCCCUUUUAUCGAAAACAGUCUUUAGAGAUAAAUACUGAGGGGGUAUAACCAUAGACAAAGGAGGACUGGUAGGUACCUCAAUAGAAUUCAAAGGUGUGACUUCCAACGUACAAGACUCGUGGCAGGCCUUACUCCAUGAUUUUAUUUGCCCUGUCUCCCAGUCAAAAAUGGGAUUGUGAGCACGUAACCAUGGAUACCCUAAUACUAACUGUGAAGAGGGAGAGGUGAUAACCUGGAAUCGAAUGGUUUCGUAGUGUAAAACCCCUGUGUACAUGUGUAGUGGUUCAGUCUCAUGAGUAACAACUGGAGAACUUAAUGGUCUACCAUCUAUGGCCUCAACGGCCAAGGGUAUCUCCUUCUCUCUGAUGGGAAUGUUGUUUCUCUUUAUAAAGCCAGAGUCUAUAAAAUUUUCAGCUGCCCCAGAGUCAACCAGAGCAUAUAUGUUGUCAACUAUACAAAUCUCUCCCAUAUAUAAAGAAACCGGGAGAAGCAAGCGGUUAGGAGGCAAUUUAGGAGACUUAGAUAUCACACCCAAGGCCAGUCCCCUAUAAGGUCUUAGGUGCGAGAGUUUUCCGGGAGUAAAGGACAUUCCUUUACCAUAUGGUCUCUCCUACCACAGUAUAGGCAGAGUCCCUCCCUUCUCCUAUGUAAUUUCUCAGUAUCAGAGAGUUUGGCAACCCCUAAUUGCAUAGGUUCCUCCUCAGACACUUUAACACUCUCUGGUAUAUUAACUCUGGGGUUAAUGGGUGUAACAAAACGUCUAUUCCUGUUCUUGGUAUAGAGCCUGUCACGAAUUCUAUUAUCAAUAUCAAUGAGGUAAUCGAUAAGGUCCUCUAAGGCAAUAGGAAGCUCCUUAGCUGCUACCUCAUCCAAUAUCGUAUCUGACAAACCUUCCAUAAAGGCAGUAGUUAACCCAUUGUUGGUCCAAUCUACCUGCGAAGCAAGAGUGCGAAACUGAAUAGCAUAAUCAGCCACAGACCUAGAACCCUGUUUAAUUCUCAUUAAUGCUCUUGCGGCAUUCUUUGACCUUUUCAUUGUGUCAAAAGUUCUACGAAAAGCCGUAAGAAAACUGUUGAAAUCAUGUACCAUAGGCCCAUUAGCUUCCCAAAUAGGAUUUGCCCACUCAAGUGCCUUAUCGGUAAGUUGGUGCAUAAAGAACCCAACCUUAGACCUCUCUGUGGGAAAUGAACGUGGAUACAUUUCAAAGUGAAAUUCAAUCUGAUUAAUAAACCCUCUGCAAGUCUUAGAGUCCCCUCCAUACCUAGGAGGAGGUGUUAAAUGGGCCGAAGUAUUAGGCAAAGUAGAUACUUCAGGGAGAAGGGGCGUAGGAGGGUUAGGUGUAGUUGCUGGAACGGUUCUAGCUAGGAGCGUCUGGAGAGCCUGAGCUAUUUGAUCCAUACGGUGAUCCUGCUCUACAAAUCUUGCCUCAUGGGACGCCAUCUGUUGAGCUAAAUCUGCGGGGUCCAUGGCCCUAUCGUAAUGUAACGAGAAUAUACCCCUACACGCAGGAUCCAGCUAAACAGAGGCAAAUACAGAGGAGAGAUACGUCUACCGGACCUUAGAAUGGCCGGACUUGACGUAUAUGAGAGAAGACAGAGCCAGGAACAAACCGAGGUCAAGGGCACAGAGAGACAGCGUAAACUAGGACAAGCCGGGGUCUGGUACACGGAAAACAGCAAGCCGGCAAACAGUACAGAUAAGGAUAAAGCGAAAACGAAGUCAGAAUACGAAGCCAAAGUCAAUACGAGAAAACACAACUGAACACCACAAGCGCUAAAGGGAACUGAAACAGAAACCACGAUAGGGCAAGGAACAAAGGGAAGAAGGUGAGUAUAAAUACCUAAACAUCUAAUUUGAUUGGUCCCUGUCAUAUCCACGCCCCCAAAAGGUAAGUGUAUGGGGAGUGUGGCAUGACAGGGACCAAUGGGAUGCCUUUUCCAAUUUAGGCACCCACUGUCCCUUUAAGAGCGCGCCCGAGACUCGCGGCGCGCUCUUAGAUUCAGGCGGGACACGUGACCGCCUCACGCGGUCACUGCCCGCCCUCCAUCCGAAGUAGUUGGAUGAGCCGCGCGCGGCUCGUGCAGCCGCAGGACCGCGCGCGGCUUGAAGAGAGGACCGCGACCGGCCCCCGGUUAAGGUAAGUAACGCUACAGUUUGUGUGUCAGGGUGUCUGUGUGUGUCUUAGUAUGUCUGUGUGUGUCAGUAAAUCUGUGUGUGUAUGUGUGUCUUAGUAUGUCUGUCAGGGCUUAUGUCUGUGCGUGUCAGUUUGUCUGUGCGUGUCAGUAUGUCUGUCUGUGCAUGUCAGUUUGUCUGUGAGUGUGCAUGUCAGUUUGUCUGUCACUGUGUCAGUAUGCCUGUCAAUGUGUAAAAAUGUAAACGUCGCAUGUGUGUCAGUAUUUGUGUGUGUCUUAGUAUGUCUGUGUGUAUCUAAGUAUGUGUGUGAGUAUGUCUGUCAGGGUGUGUGUGUGUGUGUGUGUGUGUGUGUGCGUCUGUGUGUGUAUCAGUAUGUAUGUCAGUGUGUCAUUAUGUCUGUCAGUAUGUAUAUCUGUUUCUCUAUGUGAUCUGUGUGUCUUUGCAUGUGUCUCAGGUUUUGUAUCUGCGUGUCUGUAUGUGUGUCAGUGUGUGUAUCUGUAAGUUAUCAUUGUAUGUAUUUGUGUAUCUGUAUGUUGUCAGUGUGUGUACCUGCGUGUGUAUAUCUGUGUGUAGUCAGUGUUUUUAUCUGUGUAUCUGCAUGUGUGUCAGUAUAUGUAUCAGUGUGUCUGAGUAUUCAUAUGUGUCAGUGUUUGUAUAUUUGUCUCUGUAUGUGUGUCAGGUUGUGUAUCUGUGUGUCUGUAUGUGUUAGUGUUUGUAUCUGUGUCAGUCUGUAUCUGCUUGUGUGUUAGUGUGACUGUCAGUUUUUAUAUCUGUGUAUCUGCAUGUGUUUCAGUGUGUAUUUGUGUAUCACAAUGUGUAUGUGUGGCAGUGUAUGUGUACAUGUACGUACAUCUCAUCAUUCAAAUCGCCAACACUACACACAAGUACACCCCUGCAUUCAACCUUCAACACUACAUACAAACACAGUCCUGCAUUGAAACGUCAACAAUACAUACAAAUACAUCUUUGUGUUAAACACCAAAAAUAUAUAUAAACACACCCAGCAUAAAAAAAAAAAAAAUACACAUAGAUGCAUGCUUGCAUUCAAACACCAACACCACCUACAAACACACCCCUACAUUUACACAAACACACUCCAUACAAAAACAUGCUUCCAUUCAAACACACAAACACAACUCUGCUAAAUACACCUCUGCAAGCAUGGGAAAAUGGUUCCGUUACUGCGUUGGGAAGUGGAGAUCGUGAUUGCAUGCCAGGGAGUUAGGGUCAGGGGGCCCUAUCAAAUGCUUGCCCAGGGCCCAAUCAUUAUUAAAGACGGCCCUGUCUACAUGUAUGUGUGUGUGUCUACAUGUAUGUGUUUGUGUGUCACUAUGUAUAUCUGUGUGUCUGUAUAUGAUUGUGUGUCUGUUAGUAUGUAUGUGCGUGUGUCAGUAUGUGUGUAUCUGUGUCCUUUUUGUAUCUGUGUGUGUGUAUUCCUGUGGGUGGGGUUUGGAGGCAGGAUUUGGAGGCGGGCCCCCGUGGGCCUAGACCUUGAGCAGUGUUAGGGGCCACAAAAUGUCUGAUGGCGGCCCUUCCCUUUUUCCUCAUGCAUCUCUCGUUCCUGCAUUAUAUCAAUUUAAACCCAGGCAAAGACUAUUUUCUUUAUCAAAUUCUCAUUUUUCAGAAUAAAACGCUUUCCACAUGCUGUGUUUCUCAAAAGAAAAUCUGGGGAAUAUCCGCGCUAUCGUUGAAAUUAAGUCUCUUUUCUUUUUCAAGAGAAAACAGUUGACAUUUUUCAGCGGCUUUCCAUUGUCUGCUAUAUAAAGAGAAAACUAGGGCAAUCAGUCUUUUGGUUUAACAGGAACGGCAGAGAUAGCAUGGUCUUUCCACGUCUAAACAGUAAAAUUUUAUUAUUCUGAGAUUAUUACUAUGCUAAUGUAAAUCACCAAUUUCAAAGCAGGCGGGAUAUUUACAGUCACAUAUUUUAAUGACUUUUAGAACAUAUUUCUGGGUUACGCUGGCUGACCCGAAACAGCUGCCUCAACUGAAAUCCACACAUUUAUAAAACUUUGCUUCAGCAACCCCUGAGCUGUCAAUCAGGCAACCUGGAAGAUUUUUUUACCACUUCCAUUAACUUCACAGAGCUAACGGAAGUGUCAGGCUCACCAGGAUAGCUCACACCUGCCUUCACUGUACCAGUGGCGGAUCCAGAGCCUGACCUCGGGAGGGGCACUUGCAGAUUAUAUAGAGAAAUAAUCCAGACACAAUACCCACUACAGCUCAGUGUAGUGGUUAUGGUGCCAGUAGUGCCGGGACCCCCUCCCAGAGUAAGUAGUCAAACCGUUUAAGAACAGUUUGACAACUUACCUGAGGUCUGCUUGGAAAUGGGGCUGUAGUAGGGCAUAGGUGCAGUGUGUGUUUGUGUUUGUGUAAGAAGGACUGUGUGAGCAGUGUGUGUGUGUGUGUGUGUGUGUGUGUGUGUGUGUGAAAGUUGCAGUGUGUACGUGAGGACAGCAGUGUGUGUUAGGGGAGGGCCUGCAAAGGCUGCAGACAGCAAGUCGGCAGCUUUUGCAAGCAGUUGUUAAUAUCAGCAGCGCCCCUACCGGUGGCCAUGCGUGCUUCCUCUACAUGAAUUUCUUAAACAGAAAGGGGCAGUGAUGAAUGGCUCUGAAGAGCUAAUUUUGGGGUUAAAUCGUUUAUGAAUGUUUAAACCUCUAUGGAUAAGGAAGCACCAGAGACCUCCUAGGACCAUAACAACUAUAUUCACCCCAGAUUAUUCCUUUAACAUUUCAAUAUUUUUCUACCUUUUCAACUUUGUUUUAUUAAAACAAUAUGCAGUGGGGGAGGGGGAGGGGGGGAGAGAGUAUUUGGUCCCCUGCUGAUUUUGAACGUUUGCCCACAGACAAAGAAAUGAUCAGUCUAUAAUUUUAAUGGUAGGUGUAUUUUAACAGUGAGAUACAGAAUAACCAAAAAACAAUCCAGAAAAACACAUCAAAAAAGUUAUAAAUUGAUUUGCAUGUCAAUGAGUGAAAUAAGUAUUUGACCCCUUCAACUUAGUACUUGGUGACAAAACCCUUGUUGGCAAUCACAGAGAUAAAGACGUUUCUUGUAGUUGGCCACCAGGUUUGCACAGAUCUCAGGAGGGAUUUUGUCCCACUCCUCUUUGCAGAUCCUCUCCAAGUCAUUAAAGGACCACUAGAGUCACCCAGACUACUUCAGCUCAAUGAAGUGGUCUGGGUGCCAGGUCACGCAGGUUUUAACCCUGCAGCUGUAAACAUAGCAGUUUCAGAGAAACUGCUAUGUUUACAUUGCAGGGUUAAUCCAGCCUCUAGUGGCUGUCUUCCUGACAGCUGCUAGAAGCACUUCCACAAAAAUCGCAUUGAGCAGGCAGAAUUAUUAUUAUUAUUAUUAUUAUUAUUAUUAUGUUAUUUAUAUAGUGCCAUCAAAUUCCGCAGCGCUUUACAAUGGGUGGACGAACAGACAUGUAGUUGUAACCAGACAAGUUGGACACACAGGGACAGAGGGGUUGAGGGCCCUGCUCAAUGUGCUUACAUGGUAGAGGGAGUGGGGUAAAAUGACGCAAAAAGGUAAGGAUAGUAUUAGACUAGUGACAGUUGCAGAAGAGGAAUCAGUCAGGAGCUAUUAACAGUUCAAUUGAUAUGCUUUUAUGAAGAAGUGGGGUUUUUAACAAUUUUUUUUUUUUUUUGAAGGAGUGGAGACUGGGUGAGCAUCUAACCGAGGAGGGAAGCGAGUUCCACAGGAACGGUGCAGCCCUCGAGAAAUCUUGAAGGUGAGCAUCAGAGGUGGGAGUACGGACAGAAGAUAGACGUAAGUUUUCAGCAAAAGUGAAAAAAGUGGAAAAUAUCGGUGUAGCGCUCUAUAAUAGUGGAUCUCCCGGAAUGAGUAAAAAAGACUUAGCUAUACCUUGAUGGGUUGUUUGUAUUUAUAGCUAGUCCCAAUAUAUCCAGGUAAACCUUAAAUCAAAAACAUAAAUGUACAGAACAUAGUGUAAUCUGUAUACCAAAUGUAAAUAGAAAUAAAGUACAUAGGUAUCUAACUCACACUUUAUUGAGCUGAUAUACUAGCUCAAGUAUCUGCGCCUUAGGGUCCGUAAAGGCGACCCUUCCCCUCCUUUUCGUCCAAGAUUCUCUCCAGGUACUGUGUCCUAGGUGAUAAGUACAGGAGGGAAAAGAGAUAGCGUAGUACCGUCUGGUGUAUAUAAGGUAUAUAGAAUAAAUAGUACCAAUAUACUCACAAACCCUGAGCCUAUAUAUCGGCUCGCUUCAUAAGAUGUGUGUGGUUAAGGACCACAUUCCUUCUUUCAAAAGUUUUCAGCAGAUCGUAAGGGCCUAAAUGGGACAUACUGGUGUAUAAGGGAGGAUAGAUAGGUGGGAGCAGCAUUAUGUAGCGAUUUCAAAAAGCAAGAACCAGAAUUUUAAAUUGAGCUCUACAUUUUAUAGGAAGCCAAUGUAGAGACUGACAGAAGGGUGAGGCAUGGGAGGUGCGGGCGGACAGGAAGAUGAGCCUCGCUGCCGCAUUCAUUAUGGACUGUAACGGCGCAAGUCCAUAAGAAUGUCCAUAGGAAAGCUCUGGCCAUGCAUGCGCAUUCGGCUUCACUCAGGAGCUAACGUUGGAGGGGAAGGAGAGGUCACCAGUGCCAAGGGAGCCGAGCGCUGGAUUAUGGUAAGUUGCUGAAGGGGUUUUAACCCCUUCAGCCCAGCGGGAGGGGGGCCCUGAGGGUGGGGAGGACCUAAGGACUAUAUAGUGCCAGGAAAAUGAGUUUGUUUUCCUGGCACUAUAGUGGUCCUUCAAGGUUUCGAAGGUGACGCUUGGCAACUAGAACCUUCAGCUCCCUCCACAGAUUUUCUAUGUGAUAGGUCUGGAGACUGGCUAGGCUACUCCAGGAUCUUAAUGUGCUUCUUCUUGAGCCACUUCUUUGUUGCCUUGGCUGUGUGUUUUGGGUCAUUGUCAUGCUGGAAUACCCAUCCACGACCCAUUGUCAAUACCCUGGCUGAGGGAAAGAGGUUCUCACCCAAGAUUUGACAGUACUUGGCCCCGUACAUCAUCCCUUUGAUGCGGGUAGUUGUCCUGUCCCCUUAGCAGAAAAACACCCCCAAAGCAUAAUGUUUCCACCUCCAUGUUUGACGGUGGGGAUAGAAACAUAGAAACAUAGAAUGUGACGGCAGAUAAGAACCAUUCGGCCCAUCUAGUCUGCCCAAUUUUCUAAAUACUUUCAUUAGUCCCUGGCCUUAUCUUAUAGUUAGGAUAGCCUUAUGCCUAUCCCACGCAUGCUUAAACUCCUUUACUGUGUUAACCUCUACCACUUCAGCUGGAAGGCUAUUCCAUGCAUCCACUACCCUCUCAGUAAAGUAAUACUUCCUGAUAUUAUUUUUAAACCUUUGUCCCUCUAAUUUAAGACUAUGUCCUCUUGUUGUGGUAGUUUUUCUUCUUUUAAAUAUAGUCUCCUCCUUUACUGUGUUGAUUCCCUUUAUGUAUUUAAAUGUUUCUAUCAUAUCCCCCCCGUCUCAUCUUUCCUCCAAGCUAUACAUGUUAAGAUCCUUUAACCUUUCCUGGUAAGUUUUAUCCCACAAUCCAUGAACCAGUUUAGUAGCCUUUCUCUGAACCCUCUCUAAGGUAUCAAUAUCCUUCUGAAUAUAUGGUCUCCAGUACUGUGUACAAUAUGGAUGGUGACCUUGGGGUCAUAGGCAGCAUUCCUCCUCCUCCAAACACGGCAAGUUUAGUUGAUGCAAAAGAGCUUGAUUUUGGUCUCAUCUGACCACAACACUUUCACCCAGUUCUCCUCUGAAUCAUUUAGAUGUUCAUUGGCAAACUUCAGACGGGCCUGUACAUGAGCUUUCUUGAGCAUGGGGACCUUGUGAUCACUGCAGGAUUUCAGUCCAUCACGGCAUGGUGUGUUACCAAUUGUUUUCUUGGUGACUAUGGUCCCAGCUGCCUUGAGAUCAUUAACAAGAUCCUCCCGUGUAGUUCUAGAGUGAUUCCUCCCCUUCUCAUGAUCAUUGAAACUCCACAAGGUGAGAUCUUGCAUGGAGCACCAGACCGAGGGAAACAAUUAUUUUGUGUUUCUUCCAUUUGCGAAUAAUCACACCAACUGUUGUCACCUUCUCACCAAGCUGCUUGGCGAUGAUCUUGUAGCCCAUUCCAGCCCUGUGUAGGUCUACAAUCUUGUCCCUGAUAUCCUUAGACAGCUCUUUGGUUUUGGCCAUGGUGGCAAUAAUACGCCCAGUAAUGUGCCUGAGUGUAUAACAGAGCUCCACAGCAAUAAUACUCCCAGUAAUAUGUCUGUGUGUAUAACAGAGCUCCACAGCAAUAAUACUCCCAGUAAUAUGUGUUUGUAUAACAGAGCUCCACACCAAUAAUACUCCCAGUAAUGUGUCUUUAAACUACAAUAAAUGUGUUUUAGAAAUCAGUCUGUGUAAAUAAGAUGCAUUGUUCUUGUUAUCAAUUACAUUUUAGUUCUAUAAAUUGUUAUAAGAAAGUCACCUAAAAUGUCUCAGAACAGCCCCAUCCCCGGCCACACCCUCACCCACACCCCUAAAAUUAAAGUGCCCCCCUAUAUCCAUAUGAUAAUAAUGUUGGGAGCUGUGUAUUUGUAUCUACACAAAAUAUUUGGACUUUUACAAUGAUUGCAAGACAACGAGCACGUUCUGAUAAUUGAUACUGUAUAUUAUACACUAUAGAAAUGAAAUAGAUACAUAGACAGAUUCAAUGUUUGGCUAAUGUUUUUGCAACAUUUUGGAAUUUCAAUAGAUAAAUGCAUGUACACAGUAAGACAAUCUAUUGGUAAUACUAUUUAAGAAAUACCUUUUUGCCAAUUUUAUCUUGUUUAUAUAUUUAGUGAUAGUAAAACAAUAUUUUCAGAAAAACCAACUCUCCCAUCUGUCCUUCAUUUAUUUCAGUUCCUUUUUGGAAUGUAAACCAGAGGAAUCCUCCCACCUCCUGCAGGCGUCAUGCUGUUAACUCAUAAAUCAAU
rnacentral:lncRNA from 1 species